UACGAAGGGGGCUAGCGUUGCUCGGAAUGACUGGGCGUAAAGGGCGCGUAGGCGGCUCAUAGAGUCGGGCGUGAAAUUCCUGGGCUUAACCUGGGGGCUGCGUUCGAUACCUGUGGGCUAGAGUGAGGAAGAGGGUCGUGGAAUUCCCAGUGUAGAGGUGAAAUUCGUAGAUAUUCGCAAGAACACCAGUGGCGAAGGCGGCUCACUGGCCCGAUACUGACGCUGAGGCACGAAAGCGUGGGGAGCAAACAGG
rnacentral:rRNA from 1 species